GCCGGCUUGGCGGAAUCGGCAGACGCAGCGCACUCAAACUGCGCCGCCCUCGGGCGUGCGGGUUCAAGUCCCGCAGCCGGCAC
rnacentral:tRNA from 1 species